rnacentral:tRNA from 1 species
GGAUUAGGACGCUGGCCUUCCAAGCCAGAGGUCCCGGGUUCGAAUCCCGGCCGCCG